AGACUUUGAUCCUGGCUCAGAUUGAACGCUGGCGGCAGGCCUAACACAUGCAAGUCGAGCGGCAGCGGGUCCUUCGGGAUGCCGGCGAGCGGCGGACGGGUGAGUAAUUGCCUAGGAAUCUGCCUGGUAGUGGGGGAUAACUCGGGGAAACUCGAGCUAAUACCGCAUACGUCCUACGGGAGAAAGCGGGGGAUCUUCGGACCUCGCGCUACCAGAUGAGCCUAGUGUCGGAUUAGCUAGUUGGUGAGGUAAAGGCUCACCAAGGCGACGAUCCGUAGCUGGUCUGAGAGGAUGAUCAGCCACACUGGAACUGAGACACGGUCCAGACUCCUACGGGAGGCAGCAGUGGGGAAUAUUGGACAAUGGGCGAAAGCCUGAUCCAGCCAUGCCGCGUGUGUGAAGAAGGUCUUCGGAUUGUAAAGCACUUUAAGUUUGGGAGGAAGGGCAGUAAGUUAAUACCUUGCUGUUUUGACGUUACCGACAGAAUAAGCACCGGCUAACUUCGUGCCAGCAGCCGCGGUAAUACGAAGGGUGCAAGCGUUAAUCGGAAUUACUGGGCGUAAAGCGCGCGUAGGUGGUUUGAUAAGUUGGAUGUGAAAGCCCCGGGCUCAACUGGGAAUUGCAUCCAAAACUGUCUGACUAGAGUAUGGCAGAGGGUGGUUGGAAUUUCCUGUGUAGGCGGUGAAAUGCGUAGAUUUAGGAAGGAACACAGUGGCGAAGGCGAC
rnacentral:rRNA from 1 species